rnacentral:lncRNA from 1 species
CAGUGGUGGUGCACGGUGCUGCCGGCCGGCGAACUAGUUGGCAAUUUGAUGGCUUGCUCGCUGUUGCUUCAUGGAUUGUGAGUCGGCGAGGAGCGAGCGCCUCUGGGCCGCCGGACUCGAGGAGUGUGGUGGUGUGAUGUGUGUCAUGUGAGGUUGGAGCGUGCGUCCAAGAUCACUCGUGAAUCGUGAUCUCAGGUGACGGU